UUCCUGUUGCUCUGGAGACCAGUGAGGUUGACAGGAAUGAACCCACAGUAGAACCACAGUAGUUAGUGAGGGCACCAACUACAAGGACCCUUUUGUUUGUCCCAUCAUCAUGCCCUCUGGCUGCUUUCCUGGUGGACUUUUACAUCUCUUGCAGCCUUGCUGACCUUCCUCUGGACUCAUUGUGCAGCUGUGCAACGCCAAGGUCACAGUCGAAAGAUGUCUCCGAUGAAGAUUUGGCUGUGCAAAUGAGCAAGCUGCUUGUGAAGAAAGUUCUACCUGAAACAGUCCCUCUGAUGACGCCACGAAUCUGGGAAUGAAGAACUUCUCUGAGCUGAUUGGAAAUGGCAUUGCGGAGCUGAAACUUAACUGCAGGAAAAAUAUCUCCUGAAGAAGGAAAUAUAAUGCACUUUAAAGAUCUGACUUCUGGUGAAAAAUUCAAGCCUAGAGAAAACUUGUCCGCUUUGUUAGGAAGAAUGGGUUGGACAAUUUUCUUCAGUUCCACAGGAUAUCUGAGUGCCAUGCUGAGCUUGAUCUCUGCAGCAUGCUCUGUGCUUCUCAUCUCUUCCUGAUGCACUGCAUGGUCAGCUCUUUAAUUGCAAGCUCCCUGAAGGGCCAUCUUCAGCACUACCCCUUGCAUAGCCCUAUAUUGCUGACACUGAACAGCAGUUCCUACCAGCUCUAUGGUAGAUAUUAUCCUGAAGGGGAGGAUAAAGAAACUGGCCACCAAGAUGGUAAUCACUAGUGGAAAUGAAGAAGAUAAAGGCAGUCAAGAAAAGGAAAGCAAAGAAGAAACCAUCUUGGCCAUGCUUGGAAUCAUUGGGACAAUUCUGAACCUCAUUGUGAUCAUUUUUGUGUACAUUUACACAACGUUGUAAACUAGCAGGCAUGCAAAUAGAACAGAUAAAACGGCCAUUAAGAGUGACAACAAACAUUGCUGACUAUUGACAAGUUGUUUAAUCAGAAUUGACUCUGUAUUAUAUUAACACAUCAUAAAAGCACUGCCUGCAGGCAGCGAAGGCUGAAGCACAAUUAAUUUAACAAGACUUCUUCAUGCAGUAACAAGCUAAACUCUUCUGUCCUGCCCUCUUCCUUUCGCUUUGGUUUUCAGUUUGGGGGAAAUAUGACUGCAAUUAUUUAAGUUCUAGCCUUGAAGAAAUCCACCUGGGUUAUGUUGUUUUAACACAAUUUAAAAGAGAGAAAAAAGAAAAAAAAAAAAAAAGAAAAAAGAAACUGUACACUAUAUACAACUAAAAAAUGUAUACUGUAUACCUGCAAAGAUUGAACUCUGAGAUAGCUACAUAGCACAGAUCACGUAUCCAUUAGGUCAAAUGAUAUUUUUUCUCUUGGUUUAUGCUUUUACUUACAUUGGAUCUGACAAGCUUUUUGUUUAGAAUGAACAUAUGGUGCAAUCAUGAAAAAAACAAUUCUAUUGAGCAAGAUCUGCCUAAAACUGAUAAGAUGUUGGGAGAAAUAUGGUAUGUGGUUAUUUUAACUUUCUCAUUUGCUUAACAUCUGUGUCUGUUCAUACCAAUGUUUAUAAAUAUAUAUUUUUAAUAAAUGUGCUAUAUUUUUAGCAUGAACCAAACAUUUGGCGAUGCUUGUAUUCAUGCAGCUAGAUUUUGUUGGAUUGAAGUGCCCUUUUUGACAAUGGAUGUUGUUCUUCUCAGCAAUUAUACAGUAGUCUUGUUUGCAGCCCUCUCGCUGUAGUCUGCAGCAAGCUCACAUCAUGCUCAUAUGCAUGACUUGAAGUUGGAAUGUCAGCUGAAAAGCAUUGCUGCCUAAUACGGGAAAUAGCAAAACAUCGUAAGGUGACCUUUGGAGACUGGUUGCAGAAAGAAGGUUCUAUUUAUAGUUUGAAACAAAAAGUGAAUGGAAGGAAUUUUGAGGCAUCUCUCAAGAUAUUACAAAAUUCACAGAAUGUAUGGCUUUCAGAAUCUGGUUGCGCUCUCUAAAGGCUUAUAGUGAGAGAAGCAAACAGAGUUAAGCAGUUGGAAAGAGAAAUGUAAAGAGCCUGUAGAGAGGAGCUUAUGAGAAAUCUAGUCUAUAAGCACAGGGUAUAUUUCAAAUGUGAGAAUGAUUAACCCUUCACACACGCUUCUCUGACUUAUGCUUUAAAUGGUGUCGGUACAGUGAAAUUUUCUGAUUUGUAUUUUUGGCACAUAACAUAAAGAGGCACGGAACAUAAAGAGGAUGAUCACCAUUUUGCAUCAGAGUUCAGUAUCUAUCAGCAUAUGAAGCACUAAAAAUAUGAGACCUCAACUCUGUUUCAAGCUGCCUAAGUAGUUCCCCACUAACUCUGACAUGUCUUCUGAAAAAAAUAGGUUAAUUACUUGUUUGCUGACUUUUGACUUGAAUUAUGUCCUCAGAUGAACAGGGGGAUUGUGUUGAAGUCAGUUGGAAUUGUUAAAAGUCUCCUCCUAGAGUCUCAGGAAUUAUAGUGAUCAGUCCUGUGCCUCUGGAACCAGUAAUGAGCCUCUCACUGGGUUCCAGGUGGCUGGGGCUGAUCUCACAAAUACAGAACUUCACUGUAAGAUAAAAUAAAAGCAAGCCUGGGAAAGCCUCAGGGAGGCUUCUCAUAAAAGAGGUAUUUAGUCUCUGGUGUAUCACACAGUCAAUAACAAACCAUCAGGAGAAGGGAAAAGGUCAGUGAGUAAAUUAAAAUGAAAUCCAAUAUGAAGACUGAAGGAAGAAAGAGCAAAAAUAAUCUCAUGUUUAUGAAAAAAAAUGACAGAGUGAGAGAAGUGAGAUUUGAAAAAGCAGAGAGCAAUGCAGAAGGUGCCAGGCAUUGCAGAGUGGUUGAAGAAACAUUCGUUGUGGUUACACUCUGCAGGUAGAGCCACGGAUCUUGGGGAGAGUGAGAAACUUUAGUGGCACAGAUCAGUAGAAGUGAAUGAAGCUGAUCUUGCUUUUGGGUUUUUUUUGCAUGCUUUUUUCUUGUUCGGUUGUCUUUGUUGUUUUUUUGUUGCUGUUGUCAUUUUGCUUGGAUAAUUUGGAAAAUUAGCAAAUUCAGCUUUUUUUUUUUUCAGCCUGAAUGAGAAGAAAAUGGCUAAAAUACAUUUGCUUCCAUCUUGUAGCUUUCUUUUAGUGAAGGUAUUGCUGAUUGCAGCAUGGGGCAAUGGCACUGUCCCCAUUCCCCGCAGCACAGCUGCACUUACUGCGAAUACCUUGCUCUCUCCAGCUGCCCUUCAGAUUGUGAUGGUCCUCUGCAGAUGUUUUGCGAAAGCCUCCCAUUCUCCAGCAACUACCGCAGCAAUCUGAGUCUCAUCCCCAUCUUCUAGAGGGAAAGGGCAGUGUCAGGGUUGGGAGAUGAGCUCUGCUGCCUCAUAUUUCUUUGCCUCUCCAUGCACAAAGUGACAAUACCUGUCAUCUUCUUGUGGGCAUGAAGAUGCUUAAGAAUAAAUGCCCAUUAAGUUCUUCUAUUAAUGUUAGAAAUAAACCUCUACUCUGCAAAACAAAUAACACCCCUACACCACAAGUAGAGUAGAAAUGUUUGCUGUUCAUUGCUUUGUGCUCCUCCAGACAUAGGCCAGGACCUUCACCAAAGCAGGCACUGCAAAAAGCCCAAGUGUGCUUAAGCUGAACUGGUAGAUCAAAAAUCCUAAGGAAACAGUAUUCACCCUUCUUUUCUCAGCAGCAGACCAGACAGGGGAUGAGUUUCCAGCUGUGGGUGAGCGGAUCUUUGCCUUAAAGGAUCUUGUAUGCUUCACAUCUGCUGCGCAACCAGGCGCCUUCCAACAGCUAUGUGCCACAAGUCUUGCUGCGGUGCUUUUAUUGCACGCUGCAGCAUGAAAAAAGCUUUAUCCCCAUCCAUAAAAUGUUUAACACUUAAUAUUUUAAUUUUACUGGUUUCUGUUCACAGAUAUUUCUAGAAAUAUCCUGGGGCAAGUACUUCUUAAGUAGAUUCAUUAAGUAUUCAUUUAAAUAAAAAUGAAGAGUUUCCUUUGAGGGCAAUUCCUUUACCUUUUAUUUGGCUGUCAUGAACACUGAUAUGGGGAAAGUAUGCUUUCAAGAAUGACCGUGGAAGGGAAACAUUUUGUACAAGAGCCUGAACAUGUGUCUUCCCAGGCAGAUGCACAAAGGCCUGGUUUCGGCUAAAUGCCAGCUGCAGACAAAUUACCCUCAUGCUUUUUUACAUGAGUGGUUGUCAGCAUGCACCUGUAAGAAAUAUUCAACUAGGUAUCACAUAUAUCACGGAUUCCUUAUCAUCAGUAACUGCAGUAACUGUUGAAUAAAACUUCUAUUUACAAGUGCUGAAUAGUAAAUCUGCUUUGGCAAGGAAAAAGCCAAUAGUCUGAUUCCUGACUUGACUCAUAGGUGAUGCAAAGAGUUUCCAAAGUCUUCUUGUAUUAAAUAUUACCACAUUAGUGAUGGGAAUCUUCAUGUUUCCAUUUGAGUAGAAGAAAAUGAAAAUUCAAUACUGUAAUAAGAAACCAGAACAACAGUUUUAGCUCUUGUAAAUUGAGGAUACCCAUGUAUUUUUCAGUUGUCCUAUAUAGUCUGAUAGUUUGCAUUAUGGAAAUGAAGAAUGUUUUCCUGAGGUGAAAGGAAGUUGUGUUUCUCCCUGUUAGUGCCUUGCAUGCUUUUAGCACAACCAAGUGAGUACAGAAGAAUCUGAGAAGGAAAAAAAUUGUUCAAAGCCCAUCAUGGAUACAGCCAAGUGAGAAGGAAGAAGAGUAGGCUGCUGUUCUCAACUGUCGCUCCUGUAGCUGCUACUAAAAAAAUCACCAUCUCAGGAGUAUACCUUCUCACACAUCAUUUGGACAGGCAUCUCUUGCCCCUUCCCCUUACAGCACUGGCUGGUUGCAGCUGGGGACAGGACUUUAAGACGCUGAGCCUGGAAGACUCUGCAAUUCUAGAAGCUGCUAUUCUGGUUUACUGGGUGUAGCAGAAAUGCUGUCAUGGCUUGAACCAGAGAUGAGCACCUGGUAGGAAGGCAGGGCCAAGCCACGGGAGCUCAGGUGCAUGCAAUGCCCCUGAGUGACCAGAAGGGGUGGAGCCAGGAUCCACCCCUUCCCAGACCUCAUUUAAGGGUUGGCAGUAGAAGCAAGGAUAUCUUGCUAGAGAUCCUUGUAUGCCUGAGGCCUUCCAGAGGUAAGCAGCUUCUUUGCUUUAUUUCUGUGCCUGUGGUUGUUGCAUUUAAGCAAAUCCUUGCUUGCUGCAGCCUAGGAUCUCACUGCUCUGCUGUUAUUGUUGUGCUUUCCAUCAUGAUACAACUGGGUACAUGAGUCUAAUGUGGGGUAGUCCUAUUAUUUUUAGUAUAGUCAGUAAUCCUCUUCACUUUAGUACCUGAUAAUUUAAAGGAUUCUUGGCUGGUUGAGUUCCCUUUCUCACUCCCCUCUUCUGUCCUUCAGGUACAGUUCUGUUUCAUUAGGCACCCAAAUACUAAAAAACCUCUGUCACAUCAUCAUGACAAAUAUGUAGUGUGGAGCACUGAUGAAGUUUAAGUGUCGUAUACUUCUGCUUCAACCAUAUCCUGGAGCUCACCCCAAACACCUCAAGGUCUCACCUGUGCAUGUCAGAAGGUGUUGUCAUUUCUAAACAAGAACCUGAUAUCUCAGAGCAUGCUGUGAUAUAUGCAAGGAAUGGAGUUAAGGAGUAACUGGAUUAAAACUGCAGGGAGGUAGCACAGCAGAAUUUUCUAAUUAAUUGUUUAGAGGCUUGGCUGGAAUACUUAGUUUCUGGCUACCUAGCAUUUUUGAGGAAAAUAUAUAAUUUGUUCUUAGAAGAAACAUAUCUAAAUUAAAUAAAGAAGGAACCUUGCUGCAAAAGUUUCAGCAGCAGUUUCUAUCAGCAGCCUUCCAAAGCAAACAUGACCCAGAAUCCAAGUCUCUCUGGCUUGCUUCCCAGGAGAAGUUUUUGGCAGCCCAGUAGAACGCUGCAUGAAGAUGGAAGCACCUCUUGCGCAAAGAGAGGGUUGGCCUUCUUUGGAGCAGUAUUCACAAGUCUACAAAUAAUUACAAGGAUGUAAGGAAUGGCACAAGUGCUGUUCACCUCUAUUACCAGCAGAUACCUGCACUGCUUCCAUUUACAUUUUGGAGGCUCUUAAACUCGGUGCAGAUUUUAUUCCCCACUAGUGAUCUAAGAGAAACAAAACCUGUGCUGUACAGAAACCUCAUGCCAGCUUUAAGUAAUGAGUGUAUCCACAUACAUUUGUCUACAUUCAAACCAUCUGGAAGCCACUAAGAUGCUCCUUGUUUUAAUCAUUAGGAUUGCUUAUUUGCAUUUCACCUGGGGGGCUCAGAUGGUGAAGGGCAACUUGUAGGGCUGAAAGUACCCAAAUGUUUCCAGAAAUGCUACUUUACAGGAUGUAGCUCUUAUCUCAGAAUGUUCCUGUUCACACCGAAAUACACCGUGAUCAUGGCACAUGACACUCCAUGGGUAGUGUCUCUCUAACUGACUGUAUCUUAUUGUUAGGUGUUUGGGUUUGUGUGUUAGCCGGCUGCUACAGCAGGGUUUUAUACUAAAGCAUGAAUCCCAAGUCAAGUUCAAUAGCAUGAACUACUCUCCCAUCAUACUAGAUAGCCUGCUAAUAAAACAAAAGAGAAAUACAUGUCUAUAGCUUGUUCUCUGCAAGCUCAGGCAGCAGUUAAACUCAGGCAACUUGUUUCAUGAUGGCUCUGAUAUACUCACACAUCUCCAGGACCAGCCCUGAGAUCUUAAUCUGGCCCUGAUGCCUUGAAGGUCUCACAAUGACAGGAUUCUCAGCCAGUGUCAGUCUCCAGCAGCAGUGAUGUGGACUGGCAGUAACAAGGGACACCAGAUGGGACACUCUAUGAACCGGAGCUUGUGCAGAGGAGGCUAGCUAGUUUCCAUAGGUACUAGCCUUCUUGAGGAGCAAGGGUGCUGUGGUGUGUUGGUAUUGGUUGUGAGCUAUUGUAAUAAAGUGGCUGUAUUCCAAGGAAGUUAUUUCUCACCUUUAUUUCCUGUGAACUUAAUGGGAAAGAUUUUAUAAAUAAUUAUGGCUUUGUCAAUUUAAGAUAUGAAUUAAAAUGCUAUGUAUUGUUUUCAAA